CCUACGGGUGGCAGCAGUGAGGAAUAUUGGUCAAUGGACGAGAGUCUGAACCAGCCAAGUAGCGUGAAGGAUGACUGCCCUGUGUAUUGUAAACUUCUUUUAUCUGGGAAUAAAGUGUUCCACGUGUGGGCUUUUGUAUGUACCAUAUGAAUAAGGAUCGGCUAACUCCGUGCCAGCAGCCGCGGUAAUACGGAGGAUCCGAGCGUUAUCCGGAUUUAUUGGGUUUAAAGGGUGCGGAGGUGGAUUGUUAAGUCAGUUGUGAAAGUUUGCGGCUCAACCGUAAAAUUGCAGUUGAAACUGGCAGUCUUGAGUACAGUAGAGGUAGGCGGAAUGCGCGGUGUAGCGGUGAAAUGCUUAGAUAUCACGAAGAACUCCGAUUGCGAAGGCAGCUCACUGGACUGCAACUGACACUGAGGCUCGAAAGUGUGGGUAUCAAACAGGAUUAGAUACCCUUGUAGUC
rnacentral:rRNA from 1 species